rnacentral:rRNA from 1 species
CCUACGGGUGGCAGCAGUGAGGAAUAUUGGUCAAUGGACGAGAGUCUGAACCAGCCAAGUAGCGUGAAGGAUGACUGCCCUAUGGGUUGUAAACUUCUUUUAUAAAGGAAUAAAACGAGGCACGUGUGCCUUUUUGCAUGUACUUUAUGAAUAAGGAUCGGCUAACUCCGUGCCAGCAGCCGCGGUAAUACGGAGGAUCCGAGCGUUAUACGGAUUUAUUGGGUUUAAAGGGAGCGUAGAUGGGUUGUUAAGUCAGUUGUGAAAGUUUGCGGCUCAACCGUAAAAUUGCAAUUGAUACUGGCAGUCUUGAGUACAGUUGAGGUAGGCGGAAUGCGUGGUGUAGCGGUGAAAUGCUUAGAUAUCACGAAGAACCCCGAUUGCGAAGGCAGCUUACUAAACUGUGACUGACGCUCAUGCACGAAAGCGUGGGUAUCGAACAGGAUUAGAUACCCCUGUAGUC